CAAGUCGACGGGGUCCAUGCUGUAGCAAUACAGCGGAAGACCUAGUGGCGAACGGGUGAGUAUCACGUGAGAAACCAACCCCGGUCUCUGGGAUAACAGGUGGAAACACCUGCUAAUACCGGAUGCCGUCGUUUCCUCGCAUGGGGAGAUGACGAAAGGGCUACCGGAUCGGGACGGUCUCGCGGCCUAUCAGCUUGUUGGGGAGGUAACGGCUCACCAAGGCUUCGACGGGUAGCUGGUCUGAGAGGAUGAUCAGCCACACUGGGACUGAGACACGGCCCAGACUCCUACGGGAGGCAGCAGUGGGGAAUCUUGCGCAAUGGGCGAAAGCCUGACGCAGCAACGCCGCGUGCGGGAUGAAGGCCUUCGGGUUGUAAACCGCUUUUACCAGGAAGGAAAAUGACAGUACCUGGAGAAUAAGGUGCGGCCAACUACGUGCCAGCAGCCGCGGUGACACGUAGGCACCAAGCGUUGUCCGGAUUUAUUGGGCGUAAAGAGCUCGUAGGCGGUUCAGUAAGUCGGGUGUGAAAACUCUGGGCUCAACUCAGAGACGCCACCCGAUACUGCUGUGACUUGAGUCCGGUAGGGGAGUGGGGAAUUCCUGGUGUAGCGGUGAAAUGCGCAGAUAUCAGGAGGAACACCAAUGGCGAAGGCACCACUCUGGGCCGAGACUGACGCUGAGGAGCGAAAGCGUGGGUAGCAAACAGGAUUAGAUACCCUGGUAGUCCACGCCGUAAACGGUGGGCACUAGGUGUGGGUUCCAACCAACGGAAUCCGCGCCGGCGCUAACGCAUUAAGUGCCCCGCCUGGGGAGUACGGCCGCAGGUUAAACUCGAAGAUUGACGG
rnacentral:rRNA from 1 species